GAUGAACGCUGGCGGCGUGCUUAACACAUGCAAGUCGAACGGACUCAUAUUGAAACCUAGUGAAGUAUGAGUUAGUGGCGGACGGGUGAGUAACGCGUGGAAAACCUGCCGUAUACUGGGGGAUAACACUUAGAAAUAGGUGCUAAUACCGCAUAAGCGCACAGCUUCGCAUGAAGCAGUGUGAAAAACUGAGGUGGUAUACGAUGGUUCCGCGUCGGAUUAGCUAGUUGGUGGAGUAAAAGCCUACCAAGGCGACGAUCAGUAGCCGGCCUGAGAGGGUGAACGGCCACAUUGGGACUGAGACACGGCCCAA
rnacentral:rRNA from 1 species